GACGAACCGUGCGAACGUUAUUCGGAAUCACUGGGCUUAAAGCGCGUGUAGGCGGGACGGCACGUCGGUCGCUGAAAUCCCCCGGCUCAACCGGGGAACGGGCGCCGAUACGACCGCCCUGGAGGGGCGUAGGGGGACCUGGAACUUCCGGUGGAGCGGUGAAAUGCGUUGAGAUCGGAAGGAACGCCCGUGGCGAAAGCGAGGUCCUGGACGCCUACUGACGCUGAGACGCGAAAGCCAGGGGAGCGAACAGG
rnacentral:rRNA from 1 species